GAGAGAGCCUUUUAAUCCAAGGUUGAAUAUAGCGGUCGGGGGUGUUUGGUUUAAUUUCAGACCAAAAAUGUAUCAGUUCUAUCAUAGUGACAUUAUUACCUCCUUUGUUUAACAAUCUUUAAAUAUGCUGAGGUAGAAUCAUCUUCAAAUUGUUAUGAUGUAAUUAUGUCAUCACGAUGAAGUAUUUAAUUAUUUGGGAUAUUGAGUAAGAGCUUUCUUUUCUAGAAUUAAAUAGUUUGAGUUUCAUUCAAACAUGCUUCCUUAUAAAACUCAAGUCUUUGUUAAAGUAUUUAAAAGAGGGUCACAUGUUUGCAUAAUGUACUUUAUUAAAACACAGCGUAUUGUCUCCCUCUAGUGGUCAUUUAAACAUCAAAACUUAAUCCACUGUACAAAAUAACAAUGAAUAUUAACAGUGCAAAGUGUAUGGGCUACUUUUUCUCUCAAUCUUUUUCAUAGGGUGCAAGUUCCUUUCUUAAAUGCAUUAAUAUCAAACAACAGAAUGAUUGGAACAGAAUCAAAUGAAUUGCAAUAAACCCCAAUAAUAAUUUAUCUAACCUGAAGGUUUCAAGUCAACUUUAAUUGUAUUUCUAUCAAACUAUAGUUGCGUGAUAUUCAUUCUUAUUUGAUUAUGAAAAAUUAAUACACACAGAAACACAGUAGUAACAACUUGAACAUGACAUCUAACUUUUUUUUUCAUUAA